UACGUAGGGUGCAAGCGUUAAUCGGAAUUACUGGGCGUAAAGCGUGCGCAGGCGGUUUUGUAAGUCUGUUGUGAAAUCCCCGGGCUCAACCUGGGAAUUGCGAUGGAGACUGCAAGGCUAGAAUCUGGCAGAGGGGGGGUAGAAUUCCACGUGUAGCAGUGAAAUGCGUAGAGAUGUGGAGGAACACCGAUGGCGAAGGCAGCCCCCUGGGUCAAGAUUGACGCUCAUGCACGAAAGCGUGGGGAGCAAACAAGG
rnacentral:rRNA from 1 species